UACGUAGGGGGCGAGCGUUGUCCGGAUUCAUUGGGCGUAAAGAGCUCGUAGGCGGCUUGGCAAGUCGGGUGUGAAAACUUCAGGCUCAACCUGGAGCGGCCACUCGAUACUGCCAUGGCUUGAGUCCGGUAGGGGACCACGGAAUUCCUGGUGUAGCGGUGAAAUGCGCAGAUAUCAGGAGGAACACCGGUGGUGUAGACGGCUCACUGGACCGUAACUGACGCUGAGACACGAAAGCGUGGGUAGCAAACAGG
rnacentral:rRNA from 1 species